AAAUGAAAAAAAUGAAUUUCAAGGGCUGUUUUGCUUUAUUUUAAUUUUUUUUAUGUUGUUUUCUUGUCAAAUAAAAUCAUACUUAUAUUGUAGGAAUUGUAAGGAGUGUUGUAGUAUAAUUUUUAUGAUUUUUGGUGAAAAUUUGAGUAUUUUAAAAAUAAUAAAAAUCGUGGCUGUUUCUGGCAUUUUGACUAUCUUCGAAUUGUUUUCUGUACAAACUAAAUCCGGAUUUGGAAUCUACUCGAAAAAUCGAGUGAAAAUGUGUGUUUUAAUAAUUUUUGGUGACCGGAAAAAUUGCCGGCGAUCGGUAACCGGAGGCACCGUCAGCGGUAACCACGGCCACCGACAGAAUGUUGUAGGAAAAGUUGCAGAAGUUGAUUUCCGAAGCUUUGCAUGAUAAUCCGGAAAAUUUGCGGUUCAGCCCCCCCAACUUUUAAAUAAUUACAUUGUGGCCCAAAAGCUUUUGUAAUUGAACCAGUCAUGUCUCUAUUGAGUUUUUAUUUUCUUUUUCAUAUUUUAACUGUAUUUCAAGUAUGUUGUUUCUGUGAUUUGAGGGUGUAAUUAUAUUUUAAUAAUUUUGAUAGAUUUAUUAUUUUGGUUGGGUUUGAUAAAAUAAUUGGAGUUUUUGGGUUGAGAUUUGUUUAGUUGGGUUUUGGUAUAAAAUUUGGAUCAUUUUAUUGGGUUUUAGAAAUGGGUUUUGGUUUAUUUCUUGUGGGUUUGGGUUGGGCUAAGAAGUCAAAACCCAUGUAUUUAUUUGAGUUGAAUUGAGUGAUAAAAAAGACGGGCUGCCCAUUUCUUUUCCUUGGAUUUUCAGUUGGGCUGAGAGGGUUUUCUGCCCAAACAAAUAAAUAAAAUGACCCAAUGGCCCAUUUCCUUAAAAGAUCUGGUUACGAAAUUGCAAAUCAGUCCCUGUACCCUAGAGCAUUUUCUCUAUGGCCCUAAUGACUUUUAUUACUUUCAAUUAUGUCCCUGUUAUAAUUGCAAAUAGGUCCUUUAAUUUUAUUUUUCUUUAAUUUGGACCCCAUAUCUUUGUGAUAAUUGAAUUGGAUCCCAAAACUUUGUUUAUUUUUGCAAUUAGAUCAUUAACAGAUUGGAUUGCUUAAAUAGAAGUUGAUUUUCUUCCAUAAUCAUCGAUUACACUUCAUUUAAGUGUUUCAAUUGAUUGAUUUCAUUUUUAUUUCCAUUUGCUAUGAUUUAUUUGUUAUUUAAAUUGGUGCCUUGAUGAUUUUGUUAAUUUUGGAGGUAAAUAGGGCAAAUCCAAUUUCCCAUUAAUUACUACUUCAAGGGAGGUAUCUUCUUGUAUCAUUUUAAAUCCUCUUAUGUGCUCCAAUGUGUUUUAUUGGCAAUCACAUGUUUUGAGUGUUAUUCUUUUAUUUAUUAUUAUUCUUUUCUUUUUAUUAUUGUGAUUCAUUUUUAAUUUUAUUUAUUUUAUUUUAUUUUAUUCUUGAUUAUUUGAGAAGGCAAUUAAAUGUCACAAUUGUAAUAGUUAGGUAUUUAUUUUAAUUAUUUAUUUUAUUUCCCUUUUAGAUUGUAUUAGGCUUCCCCCUAAUGUAAUAGUUAGGGCUUGUUUGCUUGUUUACUUGGUGUGAUUUGCGUGCUUCUUGCUACGUGUUACUGUUUUUCUUAGGAUAUUUGCAUCUAGAUAUUAUGCUUACAUGUUAUGUGUUA